UACGAAGGUGGCAAGCGUUGUUCGGAUUUACUGGGCGUACAGGGAGCGUAGGCGGUUGGGUAAGCCCUUCGUGAAAUCUCCGGGCCUAACCCGGAAAGUGCGGAGGGGACUGCUCGGCUAGAGGAUGGGAGAGGAGCGCGGAAUUCCCGGUGUAGCGGUGAAAUGCGUAGAGAUCGGGAAGAACAUCAGUGGCGAAGGCGGUCUGCUGGGCCGUUGCUGACGCUGAGGCGCGACAGCGUGGGGAGCAAACAGG
rnacentral:rRNA from 1 species